rnacentral:rRNA from 1 species
GAUGAACGCUGGCGGCGUGCCUAAUACAUGCAAGUCGAGCGAGCGGACGAGAAGCUUGCUUCUCUGAUGUUAGCGGCGGACGGGUGAGUAACACGUGGAUAACCUACCUAUAAGACUGGGAUAACUUCGGGAAACCGGAGCUAAUACCGGAUAAUAUUUUGAACCGCAUGGUUCAAAAGUGAAAGACGGUCUUGCUGUCACUUAUAGAUGGAUCCGCGCUGCAUUAGCUAGUUGGUAAGGUAACGGCUUACCAAGGCAACGAUGCAUAGCCGACCUGAGAGGGUGAUCGGCCACACUGGAACUGAGACACGGUCCAGACUCCUACGGGAGGCAGCAGUAGGGAAUCUUCCGCAAUGGGCGAAAGCCUGACGGAGCGACGCCGCGUGAGUGAUGAAGGUCUUCGGAUCGUAAAACUCUGUUAUUAGGGAAGAACAUAUGUGUAAGUAACUGUGCACAUCUUGACGGUACCUAAUCAGAAAGCCACGGCUAACUACGUG